ensembl:lncRNA
AUCUCUUAUGGAAAUAUACUUUGCCUCUGAUGAUAUAAGUUUUUGAUUGCUGCAGGCAGGACAAGACUGGUAAGCCAGGAAGCCUGUCAUUUAUCCCUUUGCUGAGUGUCCUUCCUUCUCUUGGUGGUUGCAGGAAACUGCUGGGGACUAGACUGGCUUGUAAACAGCAGCACCUCUAAACAAGGCACCACUGCCAGGAUUUUGUCCUCUGGGGACAGACAAUGCUGCUGUGUUUGCCAAGGAAGACAGCUCCAAGUGUCUCUGUUUUCAGGCAUCCCUCAGUUUUCAAAAAGAAACCAACAUACAGAAGAAAGAAGAAAGAAGAGGCAAAUGGUGUAGAGAGACAGGGACUCAGAAGCCAUGCCUGAUCUCUUCCCAGGUGCACGAGGCCCAUGAUCAAGAGAACAGGGUCAUCAGUGAGUUCCAUGUAAGGGUUCAAAGGCCAGCACCCCUGCCUCCCAACUGGAACAAUUCUCCAGAGCCAGCACCCCUGCCUCCCAACUGGAACAAUUCUUCCCUCUCCGGGGAAGCUUCAGCAGAGCUUCCUGCAGGAUUCGCUGUGGCCUUUGGUGAGGCUACGCGGCAGCACAAUUUCUUCCUGUGCCCAAUCCUAAAUUUCUUUUGCUUAAAAAAUUUAUGAUUUUAUAAAAACAAUAAUGCUUAUGCAUAUGUAACUUACCUGAAUUUCAGUUUUUCUUUUGUAAAAUGGGUCAAUAGUUGGCUCUAAGGCCUGAUUGUUUAAUUAAUACGUGUAAGUUGUGCUUUAUUACCUGUGAGAUACUAUAUAAAUAUAUCGGCACUGUAUUUAAACAGUCUCCCCGUUUUCUUCAGGCAGAGCAGAAAUAUGAUGCCUCUCAAGGUUCUAUAGUAGUCACUACCUCACUUAUUCACCCGCAGACUAAAAAUAUUUCAGUUAAAGUGGAUACAAAACUUGGCUCAGUAUUUCCUUGCUUUUCAAAAUACCUAGAUAGUUGUGCAUCCUAAAAACAAUGUUUUAGGUACAGCCAAUAAGUAAAAAUCAGCUCUUGUUUGUUUAAAAGCAUUUCCAUGUAACACCUAUUGCAAACAACACACCCCCAAAAUCAACAAACCCAGAAUCAUUCAUGGAAAGUUUUUUUUUAACACUGUCAUGCUAUUGCAUCAGCCUAGUAUGCUAGAAGCACUCCCAGCAUUUUGGAGAUAAACAGUAUUACCCUUUGGAGUCCUUCCCAACUCAACAUUUGUUUUAAAUGAGCACUGAAAAUGUGACAAGGGGCCCUCAGUUCAUUUCACUUCAGCUGCUUCCACCUUCCCUCUGGACCAUGCCUGCCUUCUCAUCCACAUAAAGUCACAAUCUCCAAGCCUGUUGCAGAGGGCCUUUUAACUAGCCAUCCAUUUCGCUCUUAUCCUUGCAAGUUACCGUGAUGGUAAAUUUCAGGUGUCAGCUUGAUUGGCUUAAGGAUUACCUAGAGCAACGGUAAAGCCUUAUUUCUGGAUGUUAUCCGACCCGCCAAACCACAGAGUUGCGCAUGCUCAGCAGCACUCCGUCAUCAGAUGUAUAUACGGUCAGACCUGAGAAGGUCCUGAAGGCACGAGUAAGUCACGUGAACAUGUGGCCCAAGUUACCCCCGGUUCCUCCUCCUACCACCCUGCCUUCUCUCUCCCAGCCUGUACCUAUGACCUUAUGGGAAGUGCCCUAUGUCAACUGACAGAGGAAGAGAAGAC